CUCGCAGCUGAUCGGUGGGUGGGCGGGGCUUCCAGAGAGGCCUCCUCCGAGUAGACCUCCCUGAAGCCUGAACUCAAGUAGGCCCCAGCAAGCCAGGAAGGAGGCUGGCAGAGCUCCCUGCAGCAGACCCGACCAUCCAGCACAGCCCUUGCAGUAUUGCAGAGCAUCCUUCUUGACGUAGUAGGAAUGACCCCUAAGCAAUGGAACGGAAAGAACAGGACCUUUCUUGUGGCUAACCAUAUUCAUCUACAAAACUGGACAUAUGAUGAGUGCAUUGCACUAUGCUGACAUCUACCUCAAGCAAGGAGAAGCUUGUCAGGCAGCUGUUGAACAGUUUCUUCUAUGGGCAGUCAGCAUGCUGUACCAUGCCCCUGCCUUCUUUACCUAGCAAGAGCUAUGUGGAAGAUGAGGGUGUGAGGCAAUUGUCACAAUGUGUGCUUU